UACGUAGGGUGCGAGCGUUAAUCGGAAUUACUGGGCGUAAAGCGUGCGCGAGGCGGUUUUGUAAGCCAGAUGUGAAAUCCCCGGGCUUAACCUGGGAAUGGCAUUUGGGACUGCAAGGCUUGAGUGCGGCAGAGGAGACUGGAAUUCCUGGUGUAGCAGUGAAAUGCGUAGAUAUCAGGAGGAAUACCGAUGGCGAAGGCAGGUCUCUGGGCUGACACUGACGCUCAUGCACGAAAGCGUGGGGAGCAAACAGG
rnacentral:rRNA from 1 species